rnacentral:rRNA from 1 species
UACAGAGGUCUCAAGCGUUGUUCGGAUUUACUGGGCGUAAAGGGCGCGUAGGCGGCGCGGUAAGUCACUUGUGAAAUCUCUGAGCUUAACUCAGAACGGCCAAGUGAUACUGCAGUGCUAGAGUGCGGAAGGGGCAAUCGGAAUUCUUGGUGUAGCGGUGAAAUGCGUAGAUAUCAAGAGGAACACCUGAGGUGAAGACGGGUUGCUGGGCCGACACUGACGCUGAGUGCGCGAAAGCCAGGGGAGCAAACGGG